AUUGAACGCUGGCGGCAUGCCUUACACAUGCAAGUCGAACGGCAGCACGGGAGCAAUCCUGGUGGCGAGUGGCGAACGGGUGAGUAAUAUAUCGGAACGUGCCCAGUCGUGGGGGGAUAACGUAGCGAAAGCUACGCUAAUACCUCAUACGAUUUAUGGAUGAAAGCGGGGGAUCGCAAGACCUCGCGCGAUUGGAGCGGCCGAUAUCAGAUUAGGUAGUUGGUGGGGUAAAAGCCUACCAAGCCUUCGAUCUGUAGCUGGUCUGAGAGGACGACCAGCCACACUGGAACUGAGACACGGUCCAGACUCCUACGGGAGGCAGCAGUGGGGAAUUUUGGACAAUGGGCGCAAGCCUGAUCCAGCAAUGCCGCGUGCAGGAUAAAGGCCUCGGUU
rnacentral:rRNA from 1 species